UGGCGGCGUGCUUAACACAUGCAAGUCGAACGGGAUCCAUCAGGCUUGCUUGGUGGUGAGAGUGGCGAACGGGUGAGUAAUGCGUGACCGACCUGCCCCAUACACCGGAAUAGCUCCGUGGAAACGGGUGGUAAUGCCGGAUGCUCCGACUCCUCGCAUGGGGUGUCGGGAAAGAUUUCAUCGGUAUGGGAUGGGGUCGCGUCCUAUCAGGUAGUCGGCGGGGUAACGGCCCACCGAGCCUACGACGGGUAGCCGGCCUGAGAGGGCGACCGGCCACAUUGGGACUGAGAUACGGCCCAGACUCCUACGGGAGGCAGCAGUGGGGAAUAUUGCACAAUGGGCGCAAGCCUGAUGCAGCGACGCCGCGUGCGGGAUGACGGCCUUCGGGUUGUAAACCGCUUUUGAUCGGGAGCAAGCCUUCGGGUGAGUGUACCUUUCGAAUAAGCACCGGCUAACUACGUGCCAGCAGCCGCGGUAAUACGUAGGGUGCAAGCGUUAUCCGGAAUUAUUGGGCGUAAAGGGCUCGU
rnacentral:rRNA from 1 species